rnacentral:pre_miRNA from 1 species
UUAACUCAAAUUUGUAUGGAGUUGGAGCGUUUGCCUACGUUUGCCGCUAAGGGCGCUGUUCCAACUGCAUUCAAAUUUAAGUUA